CCCGGAGCUUGCUCCACCGAAAGAAAAAGAGUGGCGAACGGGUGAGUAACACGUGGGUAACCUGCCCAUCAGAAGGGGAUAACACUUGGAAACAGGUGCUAAUACCGUAUAACACUAUUUUCCGCAUGGAAGAAAGUUGAAAGGCGCUUUUGCGUCACUGAUGGAUGGACCCGCGGUGCAUUAGCUAGUUGGUGAGGUAACGGCUCACCAAGGCAACGAUGCAUAGCCGACCUGAGAGGGUGAUCGGCCACACUGGGACUGAGACACGGCCCAGACUCCUACGGGAGGCAGCAGUAGGGAAUCUUCGGCAAUGGACGAAAGUCUGACCGAGCAACGCCGCGUGAGUGAAGAAGGUUUUCGGAUCGUAAAACUCUGUUGUUAGAGAAGAACAAGGAUGAGAGUAAAAUGUUCAUCCCUUGACGGUAUCUAACCAGAAAGCCACGGCUAACUACGUGCCAGCAGCCGCGGUAAUACGUAGGUGGCAAGCGUUGUCCGGAUUUAUUGGGCGUAAAGCGAGCGCAGGCGGUUUCUUAAGUCUGAUGUGAAAGCCCCCGGCUCAACCGGGGAGGGUCAUUGGAAACUGGGAGACUUGAGUGCAGAAGAGGAGAGUGGAAUUCCAUGUGUAGCGGUGAAAUGCGUAGAUAUAUGGAGGAACACCAGUGGCGAAGGCGGCUCUCUGGUCUGUAACUGACGCUGAGGCUCGAAAGCGUGGGGAGCGAACAGGAUUAGAUACCCUGGUAGUCCACGCCGUAAACGAUGAGUGCUAAGUGUUGGAGGGUUUCCGCCCUUCAGUGCUGCAGCAAACGCAUUAAGCACUCCGCCUGGGGAGUACGACCGCAAGGUUGAAACUCAAAGGAUU
rnacentral:rRNA from 1 species